UCCCUGGUGGCUCAGUGGUAAAGAGUCUGCCUGCCAAUGCAGGAGACAUAGGUUUGACCCCUGGCCUGGGAA
rnacentral:tRNA from 1 species